rnacentral:rRNA from 1 species
GACGAACCGAGCGAACGUUGUUCGGAAUCACUGGGCUUAAAGGGCGCGUAGGCGGGUGCUCAAGUCCGGGGUGAAAUCCUCCAGCUCAACUGGAGAACUGCCUCGGAUACUGGGUGCCUCGAGGGUGGUAGGGGUAUGCGGAACUAUCGGUGGAGCGGUGAAAUGCGUUGAUAUCGAUAGGAACUCCGGUGGCGAAGGCGGCAUACUGGACCACAUCUGACGCUGAGGCGCGAAAGCUAGGGGAGCAAACGGG